UACGUAGGGGGCAAGCGUUGUCCGGAUUUAUUGGGCGUAAAGAGCGUGUAGGCGGUUUGGUAGGUCCGCUGUGAAAACUCGAGGCUCAACCUCGAGACGCCGGUGGAAACCAUCAGACUAGAGUCCGGAAGAGGAGAGUGGAAUUCCUGGUGUAGCGGUGAAAUGCGCAGAUAUCAGGAAGAACACCCGUGGCUAAGGCGGCUCUCUAGUACGGUACUGACGCUGAGACGCGAAAGCGGGGGGAGCGAACAGG
rnacentral:rRNA from 1 species